UUAUUUUUAACUUGGAAUUGGCGGCUGAAUACAGUACCAAUCAGAAACAGAUGAGAUUGCCCCCAAGCUAUUAAACAUGUAUGUGUUUUUAUGUCUUUUAUUUUUCUGUGAGUUUUUCAGUGUUGGAUAUUUUGAGUGGGUUUGAAAAACAUGAAGCGAUGCUGGCCCCAUCCCCGCAGGGCAGAGAAGAACUUGAAUUUCAUGUUUUCAUGACAGUGGGAGUAGCAAGUCCCUUCCCUCCAGAGUCAGCUUUGUGGGUGGACUGCUGUAAUAUGCUGGUAGGAUAUCCAAAUUACUCCCCUUGUAUUGUGCGCUUUGUCACUUGUAAAACCACGUUGCAUUCUUACUGUGAGAUGAAUUCAGAAUAGAGCAGAGAGGAAGAGAAUCUUUGGCUCUUAAUUUAUGUACAUAAGUUAAAUGAAAGUGCUCAGGACCAGCUGUUUUGCUAAUUUAGCUAGCCAGCUGCCUCUUGUUGUCUGUAUCAGCCUGGUACUCGCCCAAAGAGCUGGUGCCCAUGCACCCGUGGGCUGAUGCUGUUGUAUACCAGCAGCCGUCACCUCAUCUGUAGGGAUGGCUGCUGCUUCUGUUCUGUAACGCAUAACCCUGGUGAUACUACCCAACCAUCAAAUCAAGCUGAACGUGUAAGUCUGGACUGGUCUGUUGGAACUGUGCAGUGUGGGAAUGUAACUGAACAAAGUGGUCGCGGUGUUUGCUGGUUUGGCUCUGGCCCGGCUCUCAUUGUCCUUCAGCUGAGGGAGCUGAGGCCCUUCGGAAGCCGUAGCAGGGUGCUGUACCAGUUGGACUAAAGCUUCAGGAAGGACAGCAGAACCCGUGAGCACUUCUGCAACCAGCACGUUGGCAGCUGUCUGUCUGCACCUCGAUUUCAUGCUUCCUCUGGAACAGUGACAGGUUUCUACACGAGGAGGCUUCAAGGUCACCUUCACACGUUAAUUCAUUUUACUGGCAGCGGUCGGGCUGCAUGCUGCGCCCGCUGUUAUCUGCCCUCUGUGCCGGAUCCAUGAGGGCAGAAUGGCUUCGGGUGGGUGGGAGGCUGGGGAACCUCGCUGCG